rnacentral:tRNA from 1 species
GUUCUAGUAGUUUAUUAUAAAACUUAGGUCUUGUAAACCUAAAAAAAGCAUGAUGCUUCUAGUACU